rnacentral:rRNA from 1 species
CUGGGCGUUAAGUUGCAGGGUAUAGACCCGAAACCCGGUGAUCUAGCCAUGGGCAGGUUGAAGGUUGGGUAACACUAACUGGAGGACCGAACCGACUAAUGUUGAAAAAUUAGCGGAUGACUUGUGGCUGGGGGGGAAAGGCCAAUCAAACCGGGAGAUAGCUGGUUCUCCCCGAAAGCUAUUUAGGUAGCGCCUCGUGAAUUCAUCUCCGGGGGUAGAGCACUGUUUCGGCAAGGGGGUCAUCCCGACUUACCAACCCGAUGCAAACUGCGAAUACCGGAGAAUGUUAUCACGGGAGACACACGGCGGGUGCUAACGUCCGUCGUGAAGAGGGAAACAACCCAGACCGCCAGCUAAGGUCCCAAAGUCAUGGUUAAGUGGGAAACGAUGUGGGAAGGCCCAGACAGCCAGGAUGUUGGCUUAGAAGCAGCCAUCAUUUAAAGAAAGCGUAAUAGCUCACUGGUCGAGUCGGCCUGCGCGGAAGAUGUAACGGGGCUAAACCAUGCACCGAAGCUGCGGCAGCGACGCUUAUGCGUUGUUGGGUAGGGGAGCGUUCUGUAAGCCUGCGAAGGUGUGCUGUGAGGCAUGCUGGAGGUAUCAGAAGUGCGAAUGCUGACAUAAGUAACGAUAAAGCGGGUGAAAAGCCCGCUCGCCGGAAGACCAAGGGUUCCUGUCCAACGUUAAUCGGGGCAGGGUGAGUCGACCCCUAAGGCGAGGCCGAAAGGCGUAGUCGAUGGGAAACAGGUUAAUAUUCCUGUACUUGGUGUUACUGCGAAGGGGGGACGGAGAAGGCUAUGUUGGCCGGGCGACGGUUGUCCCGGUUUAAGCGUGUAGGCUGGUUUUCCAGGCAAAUCCGGAAAAUCAAGGCUGAGGCGUGAUGACGAGGCACUACGGUGCUGAAGCAACAAAUGCCCUGCUUCCAGGAAAAGCCUCUAAGCAUCAGGUAACAUCAAAUCGUACCCCAAACCGACACAGGUGGUCAGGUAGAGAAUACCAAGGCGCUUGAGAGAACUCGGGUGAAGGAACUAGGCAAAAUGGUGCCGUAACUUCGGGAGAAGGCACGCUGAUAUGUAGGUGAAGUCCCUCGCGGAUGGAGCUGAAAUCAGUCGAAGAUACCAGCUGGCUGCAACUGUUUAUUAAAAACACAGCACUGUGCAAACACGAAAGUGGACGUAUACGGUGUGACGCCUGCCCGGUGCCGGAAGGUUAAUUGAUGGGGUUAGCGCAAGCGAAGCUCUUGAUCGAAGCCCCGGUAAACGGCGGCCGUAACUAUAACGGUCCUAAGGUAGCGAAAUUCCUUGUCGGGUAAGUUCCGACCUGCACGAAUGGCGUAAUGAUGGCCAGGCUGUCUCCACCCGAGACUCAGUGAAAUUGAACUCGCUGUGAAGAUGCAGUGUACCCGCGGCAAGACGGAAAGACCCCGUGAACCUUUACUAUAGCUUGACACUGAACAUUGAGCCUUGAUGUGUAGGAUAGGUGGGAGGCUUUGAAGUGUGGACGCCAGUCUGCAUGGAGCCGACCUUGAAAUACCACCCUUUAAUGUUUGAUGUUCUAACGUGGACCCGUAAUCCGGGUUGCGGACAGUGUCUGGUGGGUAGUUUGACUGGGGCGGUCUCCUCCUAAAGAGUAACGGAGGAGCACGAAGGUUGGCUAAUCCUGGUCGGACAUCAGGAGGUUAGUGCAAUGGCAUAAGCCAGCUUGACUGCGAGCGUGACGGCGCGAGCAGGUGCGAAAGCAGGUCAUAGUGAUCCGGUGGUUCUGAAUGGAAGGGCCAUCGCUCAACGGAUAAAAGGUACUCCGGGGAUAACAGGCUGAUACCGCCCAAGAGUUCAUAUCGACGGCGGUGUUUGGCACCUCGAUGUCGGCUCAUCACAUCCUGGGGCUGAAGUAGGUCCCAAGGGUAUGGCUGUUCGCCAUUUAAAGUGGUACGCGAGCUGGGUUUAGAACGUCGUGAGACAGUUCGGUCCCUAUCUGCCGUGGGCGCUGGAGAACUGAGGGGGGCUGCUCCUAGUACGAGAGGACCGGAGUGGACGCAUCACUGGUGUUCGGGUUGUCAUGCCAAUGGCACUGCCCGGUAGCUAAAUGCGGAAGAGAUAAGUGCUGAAAGCAUCUAAGCACGAAACUUGCCCCGAGAUGAGUUCUCCCUGACUCCUUGAGAGUCCUGAAGGAACGUUGAAGACGACGACGUUGAUAGGCCGGGUGUGUAAGCGCAGCGAUGCGUUGAGCUAACCGGUACUAAUGAACCGUGAGGCUUAACCUU